UGUUAAAUAAUAAUAGGGAAAACUUUAAAUACCACCUAUAUAAUUUUAUACUUUUUUAUUUUAGUAUUCUAUAGUUCAAAGUGUAUCAAUUUAGUACUUUGUAGUUUUAUUUUUAUUUUUUUAUUAUCGAUUUCGCUAAUUUUUUUUCGUUAAAUCAGUAACAAAGUUAAAACUAAAUAGUACUAAAGUGAAUAUUCGAUAAGCCUAGGUGGGGUAUCUGAAGUUUUUUGUAUAUAAUUUAACGAAAUAUUAACGAAAAAGCUGACAAAAAGAUAAAAAUAAAACUACAUGACACUAACUUGAUACACUUUAAACCACAUUGCAUGACACUAAAGUGAGAAAGCGUGAAAUCAGGGGGGUGGUAUUUGAAGUUUACCCUAAAUAAUAGGAAGAUAUGGUUUGUCUUUAUAAUUUAGUUAGAAAAUAAUGUUUGAAUUUAUUUAGAAUUUUUAUUAU
rnacentral:lncRNA from 1 species